UACGGAGGGUGCAAGCGUUACUCGGAAUUACUGGGCGUAAAGCGCAUGUAGGCGGUUGGUUAAGUCUGUUGUGAAAUCCCGAAGCUCAACUUCGGAAGUGCAGUGGAUACUGAUCAACUAGAAUUCAGGAGAGGAGAGUGGAAUUCCUGGUGUAGAGGUGAAAUUCGUAGAUAUCAGGAGGAACACCAGUGGCGAAGGCGGCUCUCUGGACUGACAUUGACGCUGAGAUGCGAAAGCGUGGGUAGCAAACAGG
rnacentral:rRNA from 1 species